rnacentral:misc_RNA from 1 species
AAUUAUCAAAACCCUUUUCUACCAGAAAAGGACUUUUGGACUUGGAGGUUCAAUGCUCGCUUUCACCUUUGAGAGUGAGCUCCUCUCAAAUAAAUUAGUGGAGUCUGCUUUGCCGAUCCUUGACGUGAUAAGAUGUUUCUACGUUUUGGAUAUGGCACUGUCCCUUGGACCGUCCGCUUCUAACCGUCUCACAGACAAUGAUGGUGCUCUGGUCACCGCCUUCUAAGUUGGCGUGAGGCUGGACCCACAAAUAAAA